rnacentral:lncRNA from 1 species
UCCCAUUAACAAUAUCCAAUGAAAAUAACAAAGGUCUUCCCUUGACUACCAUUAACAAUAUCAAUUGGCAUCUGCAUUUGACAUAACCAAGCACAAGCAUAACCAAACACACUGUCCAAACUUGAUGUUGCCCAAAAAUCUUAAAUAUUAAACAAAGUUCUUAAUAAUUAAACAUUGAUAUCUCAUGUUCCUACUGGCUUCCAACUUAAUCUCUCAUGUUCUCCAACUGACUUGACUGAUUAACUGUUUCCAUUGUGCUUGAAGUUGGUGGAUUGUUGCUUUAUGUAAGUUUGGUUCUAUACAUUCUUGUAGCAGGAGGUGUGUUAUUUCUGCUUGAUCCAUCUUGAUAUAUGACUUCGCCUGGAGUUGGCAUCUGCAUUUGACAUAACCAAG